UGAGCAAUCUGCCCUUCUCUUUGGAAUAAGCGUUGGAAACGACGUCUAAUGCCGAAUACGACCUCCUUUCGCAUGAUUGGAGGUGGAAAGCUCCGGCGGUGAAGGAUGAGCUCGCGGCCUAUCAGCUAGUUGGUGUGGGUAAUGGCCCACCAAGGCGACGACGGGUAGCCGGCCUGAGAGGGUGACCGGCCACACUGGGACUGAGACACGGCCCAGACUCCUACGGGAGGNAGCG
rnacentral:rRNA from 1 species